ensembl:snoRNA U3 Small nucleolar RNA U3
AAGACUAUACUUUCAGGAAUCAUUUCUGUAGUUUGUUACUU